GACGUAGGGCGCAAGCGUUGUCCGGAUUUAUUGGGCGUAAAGAGCUCGUAGGCGGCUUGUCGCGUCGGCUGUGAAAUCCCGAGGCUCAACCUCGGGCCUGCAGUCGAUACGGGCAAACUAGAGUGUGGUAGGGGAGACUGGAAUUCCUGGUGUAGCGGUGAAAUGCGCAGAUAUCAGGAGGAACACCGGCGGCGAAGGCGGGUCUCUGGGCCAUAACUGACGCUGAGACACGAAAGCGUGGGUAGCAAACAGG
rnacentral:rRNA from 1 species